AGGGCACUGCCUUCAAGUUGUACAUUCCUGUAGCCUUGUAGAACUUCACAAUCUAUCCAUGCACUGUUCCCCAACAUGUGGAUCUCAUGUGAUAUCCUCUACCUGUACAUAGAUCUUGUGUUCUUAUGUGAGUUCCAGUAGACUUCUUAAUACUUUGGGUGCAUAUUUCUGGUCGUCACUCCUGAAGACUUUAGUGGUGUUUAGCUAGUUGAAUUGGCAUACAUUAUGGAUCAAAAUACCAUCAUGGCUUAUUGGCUUAAUAACUGUGGAAAAUGAUAAGUUUGCAGUGUUCUGCAACUGAUAUUAAGAUUUAGAUCUGAUUAUUGGAUUGCAAGACAGAUGUGGCAGAAACACAUCUUUGGAAACCAACAAUGUGGCAGUUACAUGCUUGAAGGUAUAACUCCCAUAGUCUCAUCUCGAAUGGGCCUUCACAAGAAUAACCAUCUUAUCAUGUCAGUGUAUCAUGGAGUCCCUUCAGAUUUCAGUCUAUUAUUAUGCUCAAUAGGUUCUUAUGGAAGAUUCAUAAGUAUGACUUUUGAAUUGCUUGCUAGUUGUGCGCUGUAGUACGCUAGCACAGCUUUGAAAGUGAAUAGCGUGGCAAUAAACAGGCCUGAUAGCUGCCAUAGACUCAAUGUGUGUUCAAGUGCCAAGUAGUCCUGGACACUAUUUGCACUUCAAAUUAUAUGAAUGCUUUCAUGUUAUUGAACAGACCAUAAUUUUCCGCUGCAGCGUUGUACAGGAGUCUUUGGAACACCCAGAUUCUUUGCUGGUUUGGAUCCCAUACUCGGGGGGCUGCAGGACGGACAAGAGCAGCAGCUUUCUCCUCUUCAGUGUUCCUCCAAGCUGCAGGAGCUUCAUACGGAUGACUUCGCAGGUGUCCACGUGAAGCCCAUCUGCAGACUCCUCUCUUCCUCCCUCACCAAGCUAGUCCUUGGAUGGAACGACGAGGUGGAGCGUUUCACGA